rnacentral:other from 1 species
CAUCCCCUGUGGUGUACGAUCGCAGCUUGGGUAUUUUCUUGAGCCUAUUGUGUACCCCGGGAGCAUAAGAUCGCGGCUGUUGUGCAAGUCCAUCUUCGAGUGGAACGCCUGAAGCCGAUAUUGUUGUUCCCACUUGAACUCUCCUGGUUCAAGAACGAUGGCAGGCACCGGCACAAGUGGGGGAUGU